rnacentral:siRNA from 1 species
UUGGUUCCUAUGCAUAGAGGUUG